UUUGGCAAUCAGAUGUACUUGACUUUCCGGAAGAAUCCAAUAACACAUCAUUGGCUGCUACAAGGGUGUAUUUUUGAUUCAAACGUGUAGCAGCUGCAUCGAUUAGAGUAUCAUAUUAGAAUAAUAUUAAAAGAAAAAGAAAAAAAAUUGGGCCUUGAACUUACGUGACAUGCCAAUUCCAGCGAGGAUCUUUCCAUUUCCAAGUGUCAAGUGGUUUUUAUAUCUCCGAUCAUCAACAGCUGCAGCUACAGAUGCGAUCCAAGGGCUGUAAGACACUAACGUUUUUGAAAAAGGGCCUCCGUUUCCGGCUG